ACGAACGCUGGCGGCAUGCCUAACACAUGCCAGUCGAACGAGACCUUCGGGUCUAGUGGCGCACGGGUGCGUAACGCGUGGGAACCUGCCUUUAGGUUCGGAAUAACUCAGAGAAAUUUGAGCUAAUACCGGAUGAUGUCUUCGGACCAAAGAUUUAUCGCCUUUAGAUGGGCCCGCGUUGGAUUAGCUAGUUGGUGGGGUAAAGGCCUACCAAGGCGACGAUCCAUAGCUGGUCUGAGAGGAUGAUCAGCCACACUGGGACUGAGACACGGCCCAGACUCCUACGGGAGGCAGCAGUGGGGAAUAUUGGACAAUGGGCGAAAGCCUGAUCCAGCAAUGCCGCGUGAGUGAUGAAGGCCUUAGGGUUGUAAAGCUCUUUUACCCGAGAUGAUAAUGACAGUAUCGGGAGAAUAAGCUCCGGCUAACUCCGUG
rnacentral:rRNA from 1 species